AUGCUUCUCACUUGCAGGAGCACAACUGUGCAUAGGAAUCUGCCUCACUAUCUGAAUAAACCCUGAAUUGUUUUUCCAUGUGGUGGAUCAGGAAAUCAGAUUAAAUAUAAUGUUGUAAAACAAUGCGUAUAAAAUGGUGUCUCCAUAUAGGCUACAUGGAAAAAUAUGCUGAGUCAGAUGAGAGUUGCAGACUAACAAAUUUGCACCAGCAAGCCAUCUGGAAACAACCACCCUGUGAUGUGAACUAAGGACACCUAGCCAGCUUUCAUGGCUAAGGCAGGAUUGAAACUCUCAGGCUCCUGAUUUCUAGCCUGGUACUUUAACCACUAGACCAAACUGGCUCUAUGCAUCAGUCCUGAAAUAUACUUGGCAUUUAAGCAUAUCUAUGGUCCAUUACAAACCAAGCCAAUUCAGCAUCUUUAUCAAAAGUAGCUAGUCCAUUGCCUGUGCUUCAAUCAAAUGCCAGAUCUCCAAAAUGCAAGGGCUCACCUUUCUCAUUUUAUAUAAUUCAAAAAAUGCUUGAGAGAACGAAGAGAGGAAAAUUAAAAAGAAAAAGACUGACCAAAACUUACAUUGGAUCUCCAAGUAAUUUCAAAUAUCUGUGUCACAUUGGACGGAGCCCCCAGACGGAGUUUGUUACCAAUAUAGAGCCGGAAUUAAAGAUGAUAUUUACCCAAGCUGGUAUAACA